GUCCCUGUAGUGCAAUGUGUAGCACGUUGGACUUCUAAUCCGAAGGAUGUGGGUUCAAAUCUCACCUGAGAUG